rnacentral:rRNA from 1 species
CCUACAGGAGGCAGCAGUGGGGGAUAUUGCACAAUGGGGGGAACCCUGAUGCAGCGACGCCGCGUGGGUGAAGAAGCGCCUCGGCGCGUAAAGCCCUGUCAGCAGGGAAGAAAAUGACGGUACCUGAAGAAGAAGCCCCGGCUAACUACGUGCCAGCAGCCGCGGUAAUACGUAGGGGGCAAGCGUUAUCCGGAUUUACUGGGUGUAAAGGGGGCGCAGACGGCGAUGCAAGCCAGGAGUGAAAGCCCGGGGGCCAACCCCGGGACUGCUCUUGGAACUGCGUGGCUGGAGUGCAGGAGGGGCAGGCGGAAUUCCUGGGGUAGCGGUGAAAUGCGUAGAUAUCAGGAGGAACACCGGUGGCGAAGGCGGCCUGCUGGACUGCAACUGACGUUGAGGCCCGAAAGCGUGGGGAGCAAACAGGAUUAGAUACCCCAGUAGUC